rnacentral:tRNA from 1 species
GGUAACGUGGCCGAGCGGUCUAAGGCGCUGGUUUAAGGCACCAGUCUCUGGAGGCGUGGGUUCGAAUCCCACCGCUGCCA